GACGAACGCUGGCGGCGUGCCUAAUACAUGCAAGUAGAACGCACAGUUUAUACCGUAGCUUGCUACACCAUAAACUGUGAGUUGCGAACGGGUGAGUAACGCGUAGGUAACCUGCCUGGUAGCGGGGGAUAACUAUUGGAAACGAUAGCUAAUACCGCAUAAUAUUAAUUAUUGCAUGAUAAUUGAUUGAAAGAUGCAAUUGCAUCACUACCAGAUGGACCUGCGUUGUAUUAGCUAGUAGGUGAGGUAACGGCUCACCUAGGCGACGAUACAUAGCCGACCUGAGAGGGUGAUCGGCCACACUGGGACUGAGACACGGCCCAGACUCCUACGGGAGGCAGCAGUAGGGAAUCUUCGGCAAUGGACGAAAGUCUGACCGAGCAACGCCGCGUGAGUGAAGAAGGUUUUCGGAUCGUAAAGCUCUGUUGUAAGAGAAGAACGGGUGUGAGAGUGGAAAGUUCACACUGUGACGGUAUCUUACCAGAAAGAGACGGCUAACUACGUG
rnacentral:rRNA from 1 species